rnacentral:sRNA from 1 species
GUUUAAUAAGCGAGCGAGCAAGCGAGCAAGCGAGCGCGGGGGGAAAAAGGCAGAGAAUGUCCGCCAUCUACCCUCCGCUCCUGGGCGCGCUCUCAUUCAUAGCAGCCUCUUCAUGAAUUACAGCUGAGGGGGGGCGGAGGAGGGGGGGGUACCACACAACACCCCAGCAAACCUCCGGGCCCCCAGGCAUGGCUAGCUCGUGUGCCGUGCAGGUGAAGCUGGAGCUGGGGCACCGCGCCCAGGUGAGGAAAAAACCCACCGUGGAGGGCUUCACCCACGACUGGAUGGUGUUCGUACGCGGUCCGGAGCACAGUAACAUACAGCACUUUGUGGAGAAAGUCGUCUUCCACUUGCACGAAAGCUUUCCUAGGCCAAAAAGAGGACCCUAAUAGGAGUAUUCAUACCAGCAGCAGCAGCAGCAGCAGCAGCAGUAGCAGCAGCAGCAGCAGCAGCAGCAGCAGCAGUAGCAGCAGCAGCAGCAGCAGCAGCAGCAGCAGUAGUAGCAGCAGUAGCAGCAGCAGCAGCAGCAGUAGUACCAGUUUUUCAAAGCCUCACAAAUUAAUGAAGGAGCACAAGGAAAAACCUUCUAAAGACUCCAGAGAACAUAAAAGUGCCUUCAAAGAACCUUCCAGGGAUCACAACAAAUCUUCCAAAGAAUCCUCUAAGAAACCCAAAGAAAAUAAACCACUGAAAGAAGAGAAAAUAGUUCCUAAGAUGGCCUUCAAGGAACCUAAACCCAUGUCAAAAGAGCCAAAACCAGACAGUAACUUACUCACCAUCACCAGUGGACAAGAUAAGAAGGCUCCUAGUAAAAGGCCGCCCAUUUCAGAUUCUGAAGAACUCUCAGCCAAAAAAAGGAAAAAGAGUAGCUCAGAGGCUUUAUUUAAAAGUUUUUCUAGCGCACCACCACUGAUACUCACUUGUUCUGCUGACAAAAAACAGAUAAAAGAUAAAUCUCAUGUCAAGAUGGGAAAGGUCAAAAUUGAAAGUGAGACAUCAGAGAAGAAGAAAUCAACGUUACCGCCAUUUGAUGAUAUUGUGGAUCCCAAUGAUUCAGAUGUGGAGGAGAAUAUAUCCUCUAAAUCUGAUUCUGAACAACCCAGUCCUGCCAGCUCCAGCUCCAGCUCCAGCUCCAGCUUCACACCAUCCCAGACCAGGCAACAAGGUCCUUUGAGGUCUAUAAUGAAAGAUCUACAUUCUGAUGACAAUGAGGAGGAAUCAGAUGAAGUGGAGGAUAACGACAAUGACUCUGAAAUGGAGAGGCCUGUAAAUAGAGGAGGCAGCCGAAGUCGCAGGUGAGUAUCUUGGAAGGAAAGGGGUUGCCUGUGAUGAAGUCAGACUCUUUCACAAGCCCUGCUGGGAUAAUCACAGCAAAGGUGUGAAACACCAAAAACGGCAGUAGAUGGUCACGUCCAUUUGAUGCAGGGUCUCCUUGGUAUGCCUACACAUACUUUACAGGGAACUAUUUCUCCUUUUUCUCAGAAAGAGGCUUUUCCUCUAAAAAUUUUAUAGGAAAAAGUCACAUUAGAUGUCCUUGUCCUUGGAAAAGUAUGCCAAGUGGCAGGACUGACUGUUGAACUAAAGUCUGUUUUCAUUUGAAGAGUUUGUGUUGAUCCACUGCUGGAGAUAGUCUCAGAAUUUGCAGAAAUGUGUUUGCUGUUUCUAGUUAGAAAUACAUAAUUGGCUCCAGUGAAUUAUGUGUGUGACCUAAUUAAAACUAGGAUCACCUGUGUGUUUUCCAGAAAAUAAAUUCCUUUUAAGUGUGCUGACAAUUAAGUGCCUUAAGUAGCUUUAAUGCUGUGAGGCAUAAUUCCAUGUUAUAAGAUGGUAAUUCAUGUCACUUAUAAUUAAUACUCAACUUGAAAUUGCCCUGAGGAUUUUAUUUCUUUAUCAUGAAGAAAACAAAUAGGCAUGCUUACUUUAAUUUGUCUUGAGUGGAAAAAAUACGAAUCUACUUGAAUUUAAGAUCCAAUUACAUUUAUAAUAUAUUGCAUUAAAUCUUUCCCUGUUAUCCAUUACUAUGUAGAAGACCCUAAGAUUCAAAAAAAAAAAAAAAAAAGC